rnacentral:rRNA from 1 species
AGAGUUUGAUCAUGGCUCAGGACGAACGCUGGCGGCAUGCCUAAUACAUGCAAGUCGAGCGGACUAUCAGAGAAGCUUGCUUCUCUGAUGGUUAGCGGCGGACGGGUGAGUAACACGUAGGCAACCUGCCCUCAAGUUUGGGACAACUACCGGAAACGGUAGCUAAUACCGAAUAGUUGUUUUCUUCGCCUGAAGAAAACUGGAAAGACGGAGCAAUCUGUCACUUGGGGAUGGGCCUGCGGCGCAUUAGCUAGUUGGUGGGGUAACGGCUCACCAAGGCGACGAUGCGUAGCCGACCUGAGAGGGUGAUCGGCCACACUGGGACUGAGACACGGCCCAGACUCCUACGGGAGGCAGCAGUAGGGAAUCUUCCGCAAUGGGCGAAAGCCUGACGGAGCAAUGCCGCGUGAGUGAUGAAGGUUUUCGGAUCGUAAAGCUCUGUUGCCAGGGAAGAACGCUUGGGAGAGUAACUGCUCUCAAGGUGACGGUACCUGAGAAGAAAGCCCCGGCUAACUACGUGCCAGCAGCCGCGGUAAUACGUAGGGGGCAAGCGUUGUCCGGAAUUAUUGGGCGUAAAGCGCGCGCAGGCGGUCAUUUAAGUCUGGUGUUUAAUCCCGGGGCUCAACCCCGGAUCGCACUGGAAACUGGGUGACUUGAGUGCAGAAGAGGAGAGUGGAAUUCCACGUGUAGCGGUGAAAUGCGUAGAUAUGUGGAGGAACACCAGUGGCGAAGGCGACUCUCUGGGCUGUAACUGACGCUGAGGCGCGAAAGCGUGGGGAGCAAACAGGAUUAGAUACCCUAGUAGUCC